CCUACGGGUGGCAGCAGUGAGGAAUAUUGGUCAAUGGCCGGAAGCCUGAACCAGCCAAGCCGCGUGAAGGACGAAGGUGCCAAGCAUUGUAAACUUCUUUUGUCAAGGGACAAAAUCAGGCUCGAGAGCCUGACCGAGGGUACUUGAAGAAAAAGCAUCGGCUAACUCCGUGCCAGCAGCCGCGGUAAUACGGAGGAUGCGAGCGUUAUCCGGAUUUAUUGGGUUUAAAGGGUGCGUAGGCGGACUGUUAAGUCAGCGGUAAAAGCCCGGGGCUCAACCCCGGCGCGCCGUUGAAACUGGCUGUCUUGAGAUGUCGAGAGGUAUGCGGAAUGCGCAGUGUAGCGGUGAAAUGCAUAGAUAUUGCGAAGAACCCCGAUUGCGAAGGCAGCAUACCGGCGGCGAUCUGACGCUGAGGCACGAAGGCGUGGGUAUCGAACAGGAUUAGAUACCCCUGUAGUC
rnacentral:rRNA from 1 species